CAAUAGAGUUAAAUGAAGCUGAUGAUGAAGGGGAAGGAAAAGGAGCGAAACAGCUUGUUGCUUGCUGAUGGACACGGGUUUUGCUUGCCCGCAGUUUCUCCUGCUCUUAGCCCUGGAGAAAGCUUGGGGAAAGGAAAAUGUUGAAUGGAGGAAAAUUUACUACUGCUGUGAUUUCUGUUGUGCUUGUGAAGGUGAGAGUUGAUUCACUUUGCUUGGUACCAGCUCAGCAAUUCCAGCUCGUCCCCGGAGAAUGUCUGAAGUCACACAGGGAGAAAUAAUGCUCGGGGUUAAAAAUAGACGCUGACAAUAGGAAGGGAGGACUGGAAAAGCUCCGUGUCAGGGGAGGUGGACAGAGCUCGGCAAAAGGCAUCGCGGUUGUGUGCUGCUAGAGCUGAGCUUUAAUGGGUUAGACCGGAAUUAAACCUCAUUCGUGCUGGUCAUAACCCAGAGCUGAUUUCACUCUUGGGCUUGGACGUCACUUGGUCAACCUGUGGAAAGUGCCUUUGUUUUUAAGGGUCUUGGAAAAGUUCGUUGGCAAGGACGUGGUGGUGUCGUGGCUGGGGGAAGAACGCUCGUUAAAUCCUGGUUGUUGGAGGAGGGCAGGUGGGAGCCGGCGCUGGCCGCGGAGCGCCUGGCACGCGGUGGCAACGCUCCAGCUCCACGGGCCUUCUUUAGGUCUGAUCUGGAGAGGGAGGGAUUUAAACCCGAUCCGCUUCAUUACCAGCUGGGAUGCUCGGUCCUGCCCGUGCCCCGGGCACUUUGUCGGGCUGUCCCAGUGCCACCAGUAGCCGUCUUGCUGGGAACUGGUGUGUAGGGUGCUGAGCGGCGCAGGAUGGCAAAUUCUGCAACCCUUGCCCGAGGCUUUUGUUAAAGCUCAUUAAAACCAUCUGUGGUCAGCGGAGCCUGACCAGAGAGCCCGGGCAGCAGCAGAGGCUGCGGCAGCCUCUGUCCCUUGUCCCCGCGGUGGGGACACGGCCAGCGCCGUCCCCGGGGCGGCCGCCAAGCCGCGGGCGGCAGGAGAAGGGGUCAGCGCUCCCGCUGGAGCGGGACCAGGAGCGAUUCCGGCUUUUCCCGGAGUUUAAAGCUUUUUAUUCUCUUUUUCUCCAGUUCCUUUCACCCUGGCAGCCGCUCGGCCCCCUCCGCCGCGCGAGAUGCCGUGGGGACAAUGGGGCCGCGAGGUGGGGCGGGAGGGUGGAAGGAGAUGAAAGGGGAAAAGUAAAAUUGAAGCAUGUCUGGAAGUGCAUUUUGAUGUAAAUGGGACUUUUUGAUAGACUUUGAGAGACACCGGCAGAAAGGGCACCGGCCCCCUUUGGCGUGCUGAGCUCCGCGCUCGGCUCUUUCAUUUAAUGGGGAAAAGGGCAUUAUUUUAUUUAUUUAUUUAUUUUUCCAUCUCCUGUUGGGUGCACCCAUGGUUCCUGCUGGUCCUCCCCAUCCUCAUCACCAUGCGUGGGGCAGCCCCGUGGAUACAUCUUAAUGAAAUCCAACAAUUAAAGAGUCCUGUUCAAAGUGUGAAAGCAGCGGCUGGAUGUCGGGAAAGGGAAUUUUCUUCUUGCAACCCAAGCCCAGCCGCAUCCCACCUUCCCCCCCCGGCAUCUCCUGCGUGUUUGAUCCCCUCUCGUCCUUUUGAUCCCAGCCCUCGUCCUUGGCACCGUCUCAGCAGCUCUCCCGUCUGCCUGGAGAUGUGGCCUUGCCGUUUAUGGUCAUCUUUAUUGAAAAGCUGGGCUCUGUGAAGAGUUGACAUGUAUGACCAUCAUAAACCAGGAGUUAUGGGAGCCCCGAAUUGCCUUGAUGGUCCAAGUGUCUGCAGGAAGCAUUUUUAAAAUCCAUAAUGGGGAUUUAUUGGCCAUCGUGCCUGAAACCGUCAGUGGAAAAUAAAAUAAUCAGCCCGGGAUUUUUUUUCUUCCUCUUUGGCAUUUGCCUCCUUCCACGUAUUGUUAAACAUUGAGUGUCUCUCCCACGUGCUCAGUGCUGUUAUAACCGGGGGGCUGUGGGUGAGAGGAGGGGGGCCCAGCCCUGCUUGGUGCUGGUGCCCCAUCCCGCACUGGGAGCCGGUUCCUCCGUCCUGUCCCGUCCCCACACCUUCUCCUGCAUCCCUGCCCUGGGCGGGCUGAGCAUCCUCUAGUUGGUGGCCGUGGUGUGUGGUUGUCAUGGACACAAGGAGCUGGACAUGAUGGGGAUGUGGAGCAACCUGUGUGCCUGGAGGAGGCAUCUCGGCUGGUUUCUCGCCUGGGGUAGCGGGGUCCUGUGAAGGAUACGUGCUUUUUGGGGUUAUUUUGUUGUUGUUGAAGAUAUAAGUGCCAGGAAGCGUAUGCUGCGGAGAGGCGUCCUCCUUGGGUCGGGAAAGGGAGCAAAGAGGCUCCUUGUGUUCACUUUUGGGCAUUGGGGACUGCCAGGACCUUCAGCGCUCAGACUCUCCCUGUCCAUCGAGUUACAGCAACGCUGGGACCAGCGCACGAGGCCAACGGCACGUUCUUCUGCAAGAGGACUCAUUGGUGCCUGUUUUUUCCUGCUCGUGGGUGCAGGAUCCGUCCCGUGCUCCCGGAAUCCAGAGACAAAACUCAGACCCAGCCCUGAGCACCCUCCUGCUCCUUCCCCGUUAUCCACAGUUGCUGGUUUGCUCUGCACUAACCCGUGAGCAUCCACGACACCCAGCAGUGCCGAGUUACCCCAAACAGCCUGCUCAGCUUGAUAAAUAUCUCCGUUUCCAUUUUGUUUAACAAAUAUCCCCUUUAACAGCAAAGCUUUUCGUUAAGCUUUCUCAUGUUAUCAUCGCGCUUAAUCAUGCAGGGUGACUUCUGAAAGUACUUUUUUAAAAUGCCAGUUUUUAUCCAGGUUUUAAAAUUGAAAUUCAUUUUUUAUCCAGAGGCAGGAUAUAAAUGACUCUACUAAAAUUAGAUUAAUCCUAAUAAGAAUGUCAGUUAUCAUUUCUGAAUACAUUAAAAUUUUUUUUAAAUUUUA